rnacentral:rRNA from 1 species
AGAUACGGCCAUAUCUACUGAAAACCACCGGAUCCCGUCCGAUCUCCGAAGUUAAGCCAGUGAGAGCCAAGUUAGUAUUAAGGUGGGCGACUACUUGAGAAAACUUGGUGCUGUAUUUUUUA